ACAAGACUCGUUCGCGAACGGCCCAAAGCAGUCUGGACUGGUUGAAGCAGAGUGGGAAGGAUUAUUUUGAAAGUGUUUCAGUCUGCCGUGAAUCAUCAUAAUCCAUACACUGCAUAAACCUGCUCUCCGCCACCAGCAAAAGGAGAUGAUUGAGGGUGAACAUGCAACACAUCAGCUUUAGUUGUCUGGAGCCUGGUGGUGUUGUAGCCAUGGAGCUUUCACUUAGAUGGAACCAGGUUACAGCUGCUGUGCAACGUCCUUCCUCCGGCAAACAUAUUUUUGAGAAGAUCAGGACUUUUGCAAUGAAAAGGCCAUGGACAUUAUAUGUCCUGAUCCAAAGGGCAGAAUAGAAAUAUGCUCUCAGGCUAGAUUCCUUUGUUCAUAUCAUAACAUGACCUGAACCAAAGUUAUUCUCAGGAUCUUGUGAUAUAGGCCUAGGUCAAUAUAUUGUUUUUACCUAAGCCUUUGUGUUUGUGUGUUAAGUUUUUCGUAAUUGCAGGCUACUACCUUUAGCACUUGAAGUUAAUAAAGUAUUGUUGAAAUAUUGUGUUUGUUUUUUUAAGCGCUACCUCACUGCUUUAGCACAUUGCCAUGGUCACGUGUUCCAAUGUGAAUUUUUUAAGAGACGGGUAGGUCUAAGCCGU